GUUAAGUUAGUUUAAUAUAAAAACGUCAGCCUGUGGAUUUGAAGAAAGGAGUAGUAUUCCUACUUAACC
rnacentral:tRNA from 1 species